rnacentral:lncRNA from 1 species
GUGUAAAUAAAAAUAUUUUGAGAAUAUUCUCGUAUGAUGGGCUGAAGUUGUAUAAAUUUAAUCUUUUCCAAACCCUCUAAGAUUAUAAUUGCUGGAGCUUCGUGCAUUGAGUUGCCUAUUUUUUAUUUGUCAGAAUAUUUUGUUUUUGAAACUCUUGAAUAUAAAAUCAAGGAGGACAGCGUCGCCCCUUUUUAGAGACCUGUGAAAAAAAAGUACCUAAAGGAGAUUGGAAAGGG